rnacentral:rRNA from 1 species
UCUUUCUUCCGUAGGUGAACCUGCGGAAGG